UCAGCUCGCGUUGACUACGGUAAACGCUGGCGGCGUGCCUAACACAUGCAAGUCGAACGCCCUACGCAAGUAGGGAGUGGCGGACGGGUGAGGAACACGUGAGUACCUACCCUUCAGUGAGGAAUACCGGCGAGAAAUCGCCGACAAUACCGCAUACGUUUCUUUGGAAAGAAAGCUCGCAAGAGCGCUGAAGGAUGGGCUUGCGCCCGAUUAGUUUGUUGGUGAGGUAAUGGCUUACCAAGACUGCGAUCGGUAGCUGGUCUGAGAGGAUGAUCAGCCACACUGGGAUUGAGAACGGCCCAGACUCCUACGGGGGGGCAGCAGUGAGGAAUUUUCGUCAAUGGGGGCGAACCCUGAACGAGCAACGCCGCGUGCAGGAAGAAGGUCUUCGGAUCGUAAACUGCUUUUCUCUGGGACGAGCAAGGACGGUACCAGAGGAAUCAGCCUCGGCUAACUACGUGCCAGCAGCCGCGGUAAUACGUAGGAGGCAAGCGUUGUCCGGAGUUACUGGGCGUAAAGCGCACGCAGGCGGUCUCUUUAGUCUGUAGGGACAGGGCACGGCUCAACYGUGUCAGGCUUAUGGAAACUGGGAGACUUGAGGGCUUCAGAGGGAUGGGGAAUUCCGGGUGGAGUGGUGAAAUGCGUAGAGAUCCGGAAGAACACCAAAGGCGAAGGCACCAUCCUGGGGAGUCACUGACGCUCGGGUGCGAAAGCCAGGGGAGCGAACGGGAUUAGAUACCCGGUAGUCCUGGCCGUAAACGAUGACCACUAGAUGUACGGGGAUCGACCCUUGUGUGUCGAAGCAUACGCGAUAAGUGGUCCGCCUGGGAGUACGGUCGCAAG
rnacentral:rRNA from 1 species